rnacentral:rRNA from 1 species
GACGUAGGGCGCGAGCGUUGUCCGGAUUUAUUGGGCGUAAAGAGCUCGUAGGCGGCUUGUUGCGUCGACUGUGAAAACCUGCGGCUCAACCGUGUGGUCUGCAGUCGAUACGGGCAGGCUGGAGUUCGGUAGGGGAGACUGGAAUUCCUGGUGUAGCGGUGAAAUGCGCAGAUAUCAGGAAGGAACACCCGUGGCGAAGGCGGGCU